rnacentral:sRNA from 1 species
UAAAAUAUUUCAACCAUUUUUAAGCAUUGUGAACUAAUGGAGGGAUGUGGUGGUUUAUUUUUUCCUCUUAAAAAUUAUUAUUAAUGUGCUUAAGACAAACCAUAGCAACAAAAAACAUUUAGAUGUGAGGAUUUUUAAAUGAUGGAUUUUUAAAUGAUGGAAUGGAUAAUAGAUCAUAUGCCUGGGAAAAAAGGUAUGAUUCUCUUGAGAUUAUUUUUGUCAAAGGCAUAUAAGAACUGGUACCUUGAUGAGCUAAAGAAUUCCUAACAAAUUUUAUUUUCUAAAUGUUUGGAAUACUUACUUGUGUUUUUCAUUUUAGUGUGAUUUGGUACUUGAUGCCGCACAUGAGAAAAGUACAGAAUCCAGUUCGGGGCCGAAACGUGAAGAAAUAAUGGAGAGUAUUUUGUUCAAAUGUUCAGACUUUGUUAUGGUACAGUUUAAAGAUAUGGACUCCAGUUAUGCAAAAAGAGAUGCUUUUACUGACUCUGCUAUCAGUGCUAAAGUGAAUGGCGAACACAAAGAGAAGGACCUGGAGCCCUGGGAUGCAGGUGAACUCACAGCCAAUGAGGAACUUGAGGCUUUGGAAAAUGACGUAUCUAAUGGAUGGGAUCCCAAUGAUAUGUUUCGAUAUAAUGAAGAAAAUUAUGGUGUAGUGUCUACGUAUGAUAGCAGUUUAUCUUCGUAUACGGUGCCCUUAGAAAGAGAUAACUCAGAAGAAUUUUUAAAACGGGAAGCAAGGGCAAACCAGUUAGCAGAAGAAAUUGAGUCAAGUGCCCAGUACAAAGCUCGAGUGGCCCUGGAAAAUGAUGAUAGGAGUGAGGAAGAAAAAUACACAGCAGUUCAGAGAAAUU